rnacentral:rRNA from 1 species
AGAGUUUUGAUCAUGGCUCAGAUUGAACGCUGGCGGCAUGCUUUACACAUGCAAGUCGAACGGCAGCGCGGGGCAACCUGGCGGCGAGUGGCGAACGGGUGAGUAAUAUAUCGGAGCGUACCCAAGAGUGGGGGAUAACGUAGCGAAAGUUACGCUAAUACCGCAUACGAUCCAAGGAUGAAAGCAGGGGAUCUUCGGACCUUGUGCUCCUGGAGCGGCCGAUAUCUGAUUAGCUAGUUGGUGAGGUAAAGGCUCACCAAGGCCACGAUCAGUAGCUGGUCUGAGAGGACGACCAGCCACACUGGAACUGAGACACGGUCCAGACUCCUACGGGAGGCAGCAGUGGGGAAUUUUGGACAAUGGGCGAAAGCCUGAUCCAGCAAUGCCGCGUGAGUGAAGAAGGCCUUCGGGUUGUAAGCUCUUUUGUCAGGGAAGAAACGGUGAAGGCUAAUAUCCUUUACUAAUGACGGUACCUGAAGAAUAAGCACCGGCUAACUACGUGCCAGCAGCCGCGGUAAUACGUAGGGUGCAAGCGUUAAUCGGAAUUAUUGGGCGUAAAGCGUGCGCAGGCGGUUUUGUAAGUCUGACGUGAAAUCCCCGGGCUCAACCUGGGAAUUGCGUUGGAGACUGCAAGGCUAGAAUCUGGCAGAGGGGGUAGAAUUCCACGUGUAGCAGUGAAAUGCGUAGAGAUGUGGAGGAACACCGAUGGCGAAGGCAGCCCC